rnacentral:lncRNA from 1 species
UUCCUUGUCUCUUUCUUCUAACCAGUUUUAUUCUUUGCAUAUGAUAUGUUGAGGAACAUACUAAAGACACAAGAAAAAGGGAAAAUAAAAAAUAUUGCCUUAGUCAUUGUUGUCAAAGUAACUUCCCUAAAGGCGACAUAAACAUCUACCUCUCCUAAUAUCUCAAGAUCAAACUUAAUUAUAAUUUCUUUAGUGCUGAGAAGAUCCAAUGAGUUUAUUAGGCUUACUUUCAGAGCCAUUAGGGAGGAGUUGCAGGGGUUGCAUGGGUGACCUUAAAGCAGCCACACUCAAAAGUCUGUUCCCAGCAGGUUUGAUGACUUCAUCUGGCUGUCUUUCCCAACAUAUAUUCUCUAGAGGAUGCACACUCUGAGACCAGGGAAAUUGGUGCAGAAUUUCAUGUGAUUUGGCGGGGUGAUUGUGUACUUGGGUGAGGGUUCCAUGAUCCUCUUCUCCCUCUCCUCUCCUAUGAGUAGGCUCAGCAGAAAUUAAAACAGUAACAGUUUAGCUAGGCAAAUAGUUCUGUAUUCAGUCAUGUUCCCUUUUGGAAACAGAGAUUCUGUUGUUCUUGUUACUUUGUCUCAAAUUUAUUACAAAGCAAAUUUUCAUCAGAGAAAUGAUGCUAGGUUUCUCAGGAUACAUGACCAAUAAAAUAGAAGACAAAGAACAAUAUCAUGUUUGGAUCGUGGUUCCUUUAUGCGAAUGGAUACAGAGACAGUUAUUCAUGCUUCCUUGCAGGGAUAAGGUACUCGCUGGGGAAGGUUGGCCAGAUAUUGAGAUGUUCACCUUUUGAUGUGGUACACUAACUGGAUCUUCCUUUAAACGUGUACUUUUAGCUGGUUGAUUAUGACUAAAUAAUCAGGAUGUGAAAGAAUGAGUUAAUUUAAAAAUCUAUUGCACAGAAAAUGAUCAUCUGAGUCUCUUUUAAGGAAGCACACCAGUAAAAUUGUUGGUUGUGAUUAGCUUCCAACUGGAGCUCUUAGGAUUUCCAAUGCACUGCGUAAGGCUUCUAAACUACCAUUAUAUUGUGAACAAAUUGUGGAUAACACUGUGUCCUUACAUAUGCACAAUGUACAAUGAAUUUUAUAUGCAUAAUGUUUAUACAAAACGAAAGCGUUGUCUGGGGCAUAAACACUUUCACUUAGUGUCUAAUAAAUUCUAAGUAUAAUCACACUUGUUUAAUAAAUUGUAUAUAAUCAUCAUGUUAUCUUGGACAUAAACACUGGCAGAUAGCACUUUAAUAGGUUGUACAUGCAAUCAUGCUUUUAUUAGAGAUAGUGAUAUUUUAUACAUUUAAAUAUAACAGUUUAAAUAUGAAAUGUGUGAUAUAGGACCUAUAAAAUUAUUUAACAGGUGGAUGCUACCAACACCAAUGAAAUCAUAUAGUCAGGCUCAUGGAAUUUAUAUUGCUACCUUCUGGCUUGCUGAAAGAAAGACUGAAAGCAGGUGUUUAAGUUCUGGCUUUCAUUUCUAUUGAUAGGUACUGCUCACAUGAUUUACUAAUUCACUUUAUUCUGAAUCCAUUGCUUAAAGAUUUCGCAUCUAAGGAACUGAGCACAAUGUAUCAUGUAUAAACAAUUUAUAUUUUAAUUUCUAUUAUUAAACAUCAUUUCUAGACCUUUAUGCUAAAAAAAUCUAAGUAGACGUUGCAUACAUAGAAGUAUUUCUUUAAUUGAUGUUUUUUGUAUUUUUAAGAGAAACUUAAUUUGCACAGUACAAUCAUCUUCAGUCAAAAUGUUUUCCUGAAAAAUGACAAUAAUUUAUAUUUUUAUAACUGGAAAAUCCUACUCCAUGUGGAGUUCUGUGAUAUUACCUAGAACUGAAAUGAACACUUUUUAUUCUAAAAUAAAAAAUAUUUUUUUCCAGUGAUGAUACAGCUUCCCUUUCUAAAACUGUAAUAGAUAAUUGUGUUCUUCAAUUAUUAUGAGUUAAACAUUACUGAGCAAAAAUGUUCAGGUUUCUACUACUUAGGCAUAAAUGUUGAUUUAGUGACUAUAGUAUCUUGAUUUUUGCUGUUUUGUGCAGUAGACCUGUUCUACAAAGUGUCAGAAAACAUUUCUUAGACUGGAGAAAUGGUUUUAUAGCUGAGUGGGAUAUCUGGGAUAGCUAGAGAUGUAGUUCAAUUCAUAGAUUACUUGUGUAGCAUUCCAGACUGAUAGUGCAGUCCAAAACCUCAGCAUUCAAGUUGAGGAAACAAAAGCAUCC